rnacentral:rRNA from 1 species
AUUGAACGCUGGCGGCAGGCCUAACACAUGCAAGUCGAACGAGUGGCGGACGGGUGAGUAAUUUCCGGGAAACUGCCUGAUGGAGGGGGAUAACUACUGGAAACGGUAGCUAAUACCGCAUACCAUCAGAGGUGCCCAGAUGGGAUUAGCUUGCUGGUGGGGUAACGGCGCACCAAGGCGACGAUCCCUGGCUGGUCUGAGAGGAGGACCAGCCACACUGGAACUGAGACACGGUCCAGACUCCUCUGGGAGGCAGCAUUGGGGAAUAUUGCACAAUUGGCGCAUGCCUGAUGCAGCCUUGCCGCGUGUAGGAAGGAGGCCUUCGGGUUGUAAAGUACUUUCAGCGAGGGGGCGUUCCCCGCAGGAGAAGCACCGGCUAACUCCGUGCCAGCAGCCGCGGUAAUUC